GACGAACGCUGGCGGCGUGCUUAACACAUGCAAGUCGAACGGAAAGGCCCUGCUUUUGUGGGGUGCUCGAGUGGCGAACGGGUGAGUAACACGUGAGUAACCUGCCCUUGACUUUGGGAUAACUUCAGGAAACUGGGGCUAAUACCGGAUAGGAGCUCCUGCUGCAUGGUGUGGUUUGGAAAGUUUCGGCGGUUGGGGAUGGACUCGCGGCUUAUCAGCUUGUUGGUGGGGUAGUGGCUUACCAAGCCUUUGACGGGUAGCCGGCCUGAGAGGGUGACCGGCAACAUUGGGACUGAGAUACGGCCCAGACUCCUAGGGGAGGAAGAAGUGGGGAAUAUUGAAAAAUGGGCGGAAGCCUGAUGAAGGAACGCGGCGUGCGGGAUGACGGCCUUAGGGUUGUAAACCGCUUUCGCCUGUGACGAAGCGUGAGUGACGGUAAUGGGUAAAGAAGCACCGGCUAACUACGUG
rnacentral:rRNA from 1 species